rnacentral:rRNA from 1 species
GAUGAACGCUGGCGGCGUGCCUAAUACAUGCAAGUCGAACGGACGGACGCUACUCUUGCUUCUCUGUUGUUAGCGGCGGACGGGUGAGUAACACGUGUAUAACCUCCCUAUCAUACUGGGAUCACUUCGGGAAACCGGCUCUAAUACCGUAUGAUAUUUUGAUCCGCAUGGUUCAAAAGUGAAAUACGGUCUUUCUGUCACUUCUAGCUGGUUCCGCGCUGCAUUAGCUAGUUGUUACGGUAACGGCUUACCAAGGCAACCAUGCAUAGCCGACCUGAGAGGGUGAUAGGCCACACGGGAACGGAGACGCGGUCCAGACGCCUAAGGGAGGCAGCAGAAGGGAAUGGGCGGCAAUGGGCGAAAGCAUGACGGAGCAAGGGCGCGUGAGAGAUGAAGGCGUUGGGAGCGUAAAAAUCUGUUAUUAGGGAAGAACAGAUGUGGAAGGAACUGUGCACAGCGUGACGGUAACGAAUAAGAAAGCAACGGCUAACUACGUG